rnacentral:rRNA from 1 species
CAAUAGCGUAUAUUUAAGUUGUUGCAGUUAAAAAGCUCGUAGUUGGAUUUCGGUUAAGAGCGACCGGUCCGCCGUUUGGUGUGCACUGGUUGGUUUUAACUUCCUGUAGAGGACGUGCUCUGGGUUUAACGACCUGGACUCGGAGUCUACGUGGUUACUUUGAAGAAAUUAGAGUGUUCAAAGCGGGCUUACGCUUGAAUAUUUCAGCAUGGAAUAACACUAUAGGACUCCUGUCCUAUUUCGUUGGUCUCGGGACGGGAGUAAUGAUUAAGAGGAACAGUUGGGGGCAUUCGUAUUUCAUUGUCAGAGGUGAAAUUCUUGGAUUUAUGAAAGACGAACUUCUGCGAAAGCAUUUGCCAAGGAUGUUUUCAUUAA